UAAUACAGAGGGGGCAAGCGUUGUCCGGAAUUACUGGGCGUACAGCGCGCGCAGGCGGACCGCGACGUGCCGUGUGACAAGCCACUGCUCAACAGUGGAGGGCCAUGGUACACGAGCGGUCUGGAGGCAGGGAGAGGGAUGUGGAAUGCCCGGUGGAGCGGUGAAAUGCGUAGAGAUCGGGCGGAACACCAGCGGCGAAGGCGGCAUCCUGGUCCUGUUCUGACGCUGAGGCGCGAGAGCGUGGGGAGCGAACUGGAUUAGAUACCCAGGUAGUCCACGCCGUAAACGAUGUGUACCCGGCGCUGGGAAGUGAUUGCGCUUCUCGGUGCCUCAGCUUACGCAGUGAGUACACCGCCUGGGGACUACGGCCGCAAGGCUA
rnacentral:rRNA from 1 species